GUGAAAGUAAAUUUAGGUCCUUCACCUGAACCUGGUGGUGGGUCAAACGCUUCCACAUGGACACCUGUCAGUCCCACUGGAGUGUAGGUCUGGCCAGAGACCUUUAGUUGUCUCUGUGCUCAGAUGUUGGCCACCAAGGAUCACAAGUUGGGAAAGAGAAUGGAGAGGAUUCCCUGUAAGGAGAGAGAGUCCUUAUAUGGGCCACCAAAAUGUCAUGGACUUUCUUGCAAAAAUGCCUGUUCGGGAUUCCUCAGAGUACAGACAAAAAGGAAGGCUUGAUCAGCAUGUGGUGGAUCUGAAGAUUCAAAGAAUUGCCGCGGCUCAAAAGUAGACAUUUUGGUAAAUGUGAAGAGUGAGAUUCAAUGAAGAUGAUAAGAAAUGAAAGGUGUUACCAAAAUCACUCACCUGUGGCGCCCUUGGCCGCUCAGUCAAGGCUCUGAAUAUCCUGAGACUGCCCCACUGCUUGGAAGCCCCGGACACCAGAGAGUUUCCUGUAGGUCCUCCAGCCGAGCCCGAUGACCCCGGCAGGCCCGGGAGUGAUGUCCCCCUCUGGAUGAUCCCAACCCCUUGCUGUGGAUUCAGCCCCAGCCGUUGUUGUGUCUUUUGGGGACCUUGUCAGUUGCCUUCCAAGUGCUAAUUCUCAUGACGAGAUAAGAAUGGCUAUGACUGGGUGUUGAUUGAUGAGUCGAACACAUUGAAUCCUGGAGUUUGAGGUUAUCAGAACUCCCCACUUAGAAAAUCAUCCUUUAUAUUUUAGAAAAUCAUCAUUGUAUGUUGAACAUACAAUGCUUCUUUUUUCUUCAUCUCCAGUGCACUGGUCUAGAGAGCGGCAGUUGGACCCCAGAGUGUGGCACGUGUUCCUGUGUUCAUUUGAACAUUCUCUGAUGACCUGUCGCUGAGGUCCUGUGAUGAUGCGUAUCCUGUCUUCCACCCCAACUGCCACUGUGUUUCAACUGUCGCUGGCUGUGUUUCAACUGCCGCUGUGUUGGAACUGCCAGCUAGACUGCUCACCAAAAUGGGAGGCAGCCUCUGCUGCUGUGGUGAAGGUGAAGGCUUCUUCUACCGCCAGAAUUGGCGGUUUCUCUCGCUGGAUUCUUGGGACCUGAUCCAGGCAGCACACUCGACACACUCAGCGAUUCAGCUCUACAGUAUGCACUCUGGGAUCUCCCAUUUGCUAAGGAAGGAUCUUAGCUUUGAGAAAGUGGCAAGAGAUCCCCUCUUGAGGAGACUCCGCAGGAACACCAGAGAUGAUAGUGACACACAACAACUGAAGCCAUUGAGGCUUGAUUUAAGACGGCAGGAGAAAACGACAGUAUCAGCCAUGCACUGAGUGGCAGUGAGCUUUUUCCUCAGCAGCUUGAUUCUCUCCUUGGGGCAAAAUCACUUAAUUGCCUAGCAACAUGACCUUGAGAGGAAACAUCCUCCAAGAAAAAUUUUAGCAUGAGUCAGUUUGCCCUGUUCUUCUUCUGUGUUCCUUUGAUUUGAACACUGUUUUCCAUCUGGUUUUCUAAUGUCACCAAGUGAAGAAAAGUCCUGUGCACUUGGUACUCGGAUGGUCUGAAGCUCAUGGUGUUUUUCUUUCUCUCAAUGCAGGCAGAGGUACAGGCUGAGGAGAAAGGGCUGCAGUGAGUUGUGAUUGAACCACAGCACUCCAGCCUGGGUGACAGUGCAAAACCAUCUCAAACAAAAAGUACAACUUAGCUCAGGUUUGAAUAGAAGGCUCCCUGAGAUGCUGUUGUUGAAACAGCCACAUUGUAUGGUGUACCCUGUUUGAGAUCAGCUUUCACACCGAUGAGGGUGGCUUAGCUAGAGAGCCAAGGCUCUGUCUCCCAGGGCUUUCCUGAUGGUCUCCUUUGCUUUCCUUCUCCACUAAGGAGGACGGCCAGCAGCUGCUCAGCCUGUGCUGUUAUCCCACCUUUUCCACACACGCCAGCCCCCUGUCCACAGCACCCAAAGCUGCCUGAGGGAUUCUUCAGCAGCUCCCAUGAGCUGACAGUGACUCUUAUGUUUCCUAGGUGUCAAGCCUGUGGCAGCAGAGCUUCCUGGGGAGUCCUCAGAGCAAGUCAUUGCCAUUGUCGAAGUGUCUUCUAGGCUUUAUUUUGGGGCCAUUACCUCGAGCACUGUUUCUUGUCUGGUUUCCUAAUGUCAGCAACUGAAGAAAAGACCUGUAUACACAGGACACAGCAUGGUCUGACGCUCACAGUGUUUUCCUUUCUCUCUGCAGAGGGAUUCAGCACUUUGGGCAAGUGGUUGCACAGAGGAUCCCGUGGAAGAAUUCAUAUAUGAAUCAGAUGAGAAUGCCCCAGGACCAUCGUAGAUACCAACAAGCCCUCUCCCGGCACCUGCAGAAAAAGUGGGGAAAAUCCCCGAAGAGGCAGAAACAUUCAUCCGGAAGGGCCGCCAGCCAGUGGAUUUCCCGGGCCCCUCAGCCCUCUGGAGUGUACGAGUUUUGGAGAAACCUCUUCCUCUGUAUAUGCUUUUGACUUUCCUGGACUGAUGUAAAAAUACUCUUUUCUUUGACCUGUUUAUUUUUAAGACACGAUGUGAUUGUGUCAGCUUAUAUUUUAUUGCUGAAGUAAAUUUUCAAAUGUUUUAUUAGUUUUUUUUGGAUCUUUGUCCGCUCAUUUUGGAGUUUUUGUAAUUUUGAUAGGUGUUCUUUUAUGCUUUGUAUUGUUUUCUUAAUGACUUUUACCUUAGUUUUUAACAAACCCAUAGUACAGUGUUAUACCCAAGCGAGUCAGAGAAAACGCCACACUUUGAGACGAAUUAAGAGUCCAUUAUUGGCCGGGCGCGUGGCUCAAGCCUGUAAUCCCAGCACU
rnacentral:lncRNA from 1 species